UUUAGUGACCUAUAAUUUUAAGUUACAACUAUGCUACAGAUUUUACCUUUCCCAUUAAAGGUCUGCCACAUAAUCAGGUUGUAUUUCUUUUCAUUGGUGUGGAUUUACAACUGUUAGUUCCUGACUCCUAAAUCUGAAAUUUAUUUGGUCCCUCCAUUUUUGUUCAGAUCUAUGCAAUAAGAAACUCCACAAGGAAAUGACAAACUUUAGGAUCGACCGGGCGCGUCAGUGACUUGGAGGGGACAGCAAGACACAUAGAAGAAAUAUAAAGCAUCAAGUUGACGGGAUAUCUCAUAACUGAAACCAUGAACAACAAGUGCUUCGGUUCUGGUGGUGGCGAUCCAUUGCUUGAGGCGACAUCAUGUGCAAGAUUAUCCUCGUGGAGGCCGCUGGCACGGUGGCACCCUCCUCAACCUGCUGAUCCCAUUACCCAGGUUGCCUGUUGCGCCUAAAGGUUGGAUACAUGGUGAUAUGGUAAUGCCGAUUUGGGAAAGCAGGUGUACAGUGUGUGUAAAUUAAGAAAACAAUUUAUAAUCUGUGAUGUGAUCACUGCAUUUUAAUUUUGUAUAUGCGAUCCCCUCAAGUAGGGAAGUAUUGAAUGCACCUCUCUGGCAUACACUCUUUUAUUGCAUCGUGUAAAGAUAUGUGGUCUGAGGGGAAGGAGAAAUGCGGGAGCUCAUAUUUUAAAAUGAUGGUCGAGCUGACAAUGCAGCCAUUAUUUGGGCAAGUAUUCUUAUACCAGGAAUUGCAUGCAGUUUAAUGACUAUAUG